UCUAAGAAGCGGCGAGCUGACACUUCCUUGCCUGAGUGUUUGUUUACCUUGGUUUACCUGGAUUCCUCCGGAGUUUUCCGAGAGGAGAGUUCUGUGGGUCGUUUGUCCCAGACUCCGACCAGCCGUCAGUUCGCUCCUCCACUCAGUCUGACUUACCUGUCCGCCCUCCAACGGUUCGUUGCCUCUCCACGCCGCCCCUGGGUCCGUUGUUGCUCCAAAGGAAACAUCCAUCCGCUCCUAUGGCUGAACUGGUUGCCCCUUCCAGACUCCUGCUCCGUGUUUUCUCCCCAACCCUAUUCCCUCUUGUCAAUAAACUUCAUUAUUGUUUUGCA